GGGGAUUUGGGGUGUUUUCUAGAGAGCGAUUUUUUUAAUGGAAGAAACCAGGCAAGAGGGGGCUGUUAAACAUGGAGCCAGGAGGCUUCCAGAGCUGAGGAUGAGGCCAGCAGAGGCGGGAGGCUGCGUCCCUCCUGGAAGAGGCCCCCAGAGCACAGCCAAGCAUUUGGCCCGUUCCCGCGCCCAGCACCUCGUGGGGGCCGUGUGCGUCUGGGUUUCAAAGCCCCCAAGAGACCUGGCGUGCAGUGGGUUAGAAAAGCCAGGGUGUCCUUGAGCUAUUCGCACGCAGCCCUAGGAAGCCACGGGGGCUCCACGCCCCCAGGACUGGGCUUGAGCCCAGGGCCUUCACACUGAGUACAGCCCCAGCCCUUUCGCAUUUGAAACAAAACCUCACUGAGUCGCUCCAUUGCCCAGGCUGAGCUCCAAUUUUCAGUCCUGCUGCCUCAGCUUCCCGCAGUGCUGGGAUGACACAUGUGCACCACCACCCCCCAUUUUGUUUUGUUUUGUUUUGUUUUUUAAUCUUUUUAAAGUCCAGCCUUAGCGUACAUUUCUCACAACUCCCCGUGCGGCCCGUGGCGCUCGGCCAUAGCCCACAUUUUGAGGGCGAAGAGGUGAGAGGAGCCAAACACGCUCGGACCCCCGGACCCGGAGGACAAAGCCCUCCCCUGGCGUGAAGCAGGGAACAAGGGUGGAGCAGCCCGGCAGGGCCAGGCAGGCUCCCGGGGUCGCAGAGGGGGGCCAGGGCCCCACGCACACGCUGAGCCGGGGAAAUAUUUUCACAGCACGCCCACUGUCUCUCCUGCGGAUUAGCCCUCAGAUUCUUGUUCCCAGCACAAAUAUGCGAGGGGAAGGAAUGCGUGCAGCCAAGACCAGCCGGAAGCGGGCGGCUUCCCGGCUGCGCCCGGGCCCUGUUCCCAGGAGCACGGCGAGGCGCAGUGAGGCCGCCCGCCCGGAGGCGAAGCCGCGGGUCCGCCCUGAGCUCCCUUCUGCAUCUGCGGGCCGACCUGAAAGAUGCGCCGCUCCCCUGCCUGCUCAACGAUGCUGCCGCGAGCAGAGCCGAGCCUCGGCUCACAGGAAGUGGCGCGGCCACCGUCUCUCUGCACCGCGUCCUCCCACGGUGGGCGCUGAACAAAGGACGCGGCUGCAUUUCCUGUCCUCUCCCGCUGCGUCUCGGAAGCCCUGGGCGCCACCAGUGUGUACGGGAAGGCACAGCCUCCUGAGGCUAUUUCAGCGUCUCCCGACCGCGUGGUGGCCCGGCCUUCGAGGCUGUGCAAGAAUAUAAAGCAAGCAGAAUUCCCAGGCUGCUGCGGGUGUAUUGAUACACACACAUACACAUGACUGUGAGUGUGCACACGUAUGACUUGACCCACCAGAGUGGAAACUCCAUAGCACAGGAUGGAUUCCGUGUGCACUCAGAGAAGUGCUUACUCUCACGCAGGGCGCAGGGCUAGAUGUUCUAGCAGCAGGCCCCCUAAUAGCCAAAGCUGUCCAUAAUCUGAUGUUCAUCAAUAGUAAAGUGCAUAAUUUGUAAUUAUACUCAUAUAAGUAAUGUAAUAGGAACCCAACACUUUAGCUACAAGACCAAGUUGGAUGAAAGAUGGAAGAACAAAAGCGAAACCUCAUGGGAAGCAGAAGUCGGUCUGACACCGAGGAACAGC
ensembl:lincRNA uncharacterized LOC106148337